GUAAGCUACUAAGAGCGAAUGGUGGAUGCCUUGACUGGUAAAGGCGAUGAAGGACGUACUAGACUGCGAUAAGCUACGGGGAGCUGUCAAGAAGCUUUGAUCCGUAGAUUUCCGAAUGGGGCAACCCAAUGUAUAGAGAUAUACAUUACCUAUAUAGGAGCGAACGAGGGGAAUUGAAACAUCUUAGUACCCUCAGGAAAAGAAAUCAAUAGAGAUUGCGUCAGUAGCGGCGAGCGAAAGCGCAAGAGGGCAAACCCAGUGCUUGCACUGGGGGUUGUAGGACUGCAAUGUGCAAGAGGUAAGUUUAGCAGAACAUUCUGGAAAGUAUAACCAUAGAGGGUGAUAGUCCCGUAUGCGAAAAACAAACCUUAGCUAGCAGUAUCCUGAGUAGGGCGGGACACGAGGAAUCCUGUCUGAAUCCGGGUCGACCACGAUCCAACCCUAAAUACUAAUACCAGAUCGAUAGUGCACAAGUACCGUGAGGGAAAGGUGAAAAGAACUGAGGUGAUCAGAGUGAAAUAGAACCUGAAACCAUUUGCUUACAAUCAUUCAGAGCCCUAUGUAGCAAUACAGGGUGAUGGACUGCCUUUUGCAUAAUGAGCCUGCGAGUUGUGGUGUCUGGCAAGGUUAAGCAAACGCGAAGCCGUAGCGAAAGCGAGUCUGAAUAGGGCGCUUAGUCAGAUGCUGCAGACCCGAAACGAAGUGAUCUAUCCAUGAGCAAGUUGAAGCUAGUGUAAGAACUAGUGGAGGACUGAACCCAUAGGCGUUGAAAAGCCCCGGGAUGACUUGUGGAUAGGGGUGAAAGGCCAAUCAAACUUCGUGAUAGCUGGUUCUCUCCGAAAUAUAUUUAGGUAUAGCGUUGUGUCGUAAUAUAAGGGGGUAGAGCACUGAAUGGGCUAGGGCAUACACCAAUGUACCAAACCCUAUCAAACUCCGAAUACCUUAUAUGUAAUCACAGCAGUCAGGCGGCGAGUGAUAAAAUCCGUCGUCAAGAGGGAAACAACCCAGACUACCAGCUAAGGUCCCUAAAUCUUACUUAAGUGGAAAACGAUGUGAAGUUACUUAAACAACCAGGAGGUUGGCUUAGAAGCAGCCAUCCUUUAAAGAAAGCGUAAUAGCUCACUGGUCUAGUGAUUUUGCGCGGAAAAUAUAACGGGGCUAAAGUAAGUACCGAAGCUGUAGACUUGCACACAACUUAGAUUAUUUAAGUUUAGAAUAUGAGAAACUAAGUUAUAUGUUUAGUUAUAUUUUUACUGAUUUUUAUAGAGUAAAGAUAGAAAUAAAACUUAGUAAAAUCAGUAAAAAUAUUCUUAGACUAAAGUUAAGUAGUUUAAGUUGUGUGCAAGUGGUAGGAGAGCGUUCUAUUUGCGUCGAAGGUAUACCGGUAAGGAGUGCUGGAGCGAAUAGAAGUGAGCAUGCAGGCAUGAGUAGCGAUAAUUAAUGUGAGAAUCAUUAACGCCGUAAACCCAAGGUUUCCUACGCGAUGCUCGUCAUCGUAGGGUUAGUCGGGUCCUAAGUCGAGUCCGAAAGGGGUAGACGAUGGCAAAUUGGUUAAUAUUCCAAUACCAACAUUAGUGUGCGAUGGAAGGACGCUUAGGGCUAAGGGGGCUAGCGGAUGGAAGUGCUAGUCUAAGGUCGUAGGAGGUUGUACAGGCAAAUCCGUAUAACAAUACUCCGAGAACUGAAAGGCUUUUUGAAGUCUUCGGAUGGAUAGAAGAACCCCUGAUGCCGUCGAGCCAAGAAAAGUUUCUAAGUUUAGCUAAUGUUGCCCGUACCGUAAACCGACACAGGUGGGUGGGAUGAGUAUUCUAAGGCGCGUGGAAGAACUCUCUUUAAGGAACUCUGCAAAAUAGCACCGUAUCUUCGGUAUAAGGUGUGGUUAGCUUUGUAUUAGGAUUUACUCCGAAAGCAAGGAAACUUACAACAAAGAGUCCCUCCCGACUGUUUACCAAAAACACAGCACUCUGCUAACUCGUAAGAGGAUGUAUAGGGUGUGACGCCUGCCCGGUGCUCGAAGGUUAAUUGAUGGGGUUAGCAUUAGCGAAGCUCUUGAUCGAAGCCCGAGUAAACGGCGGCCGUAACUAUAACGGUCCUAAGGUAGCGAAAUUCCUUGUCGGUUAAAUACCGACCUGCAUGAAUGGCGUAACGAGAUGGGAGCUGUCUCAAAGAGGGAUCCAGUGAAAUUGUAGUGGAGGUGAAAAUUCCUCCUACCCGCGGCAAGACGGAAAGACCCCGUGGACCUUUACUACAGCUUGACACUGCUACUUGGAUAAGAAUGUGCAGGAUAGGUGGGAGGCUUUGAGUAUAUGACGCCAGUUGUAUAUGAGCCAUUGUUGAGAUACCACUCUUUCUUAUUUGGGUAGCUAACCAGCUUGAGUUAUCCUCAAGUGGGACAAUGUCUGGUGGGUAGUUUGACUGGGGCGGUCGCCUCCCAAAUAAUAACGGAGGCUUACAAAGGUUGGCUCAGAACGGUUGGAAAUCGUUCGUAGAGUAUAAAGGUAUAAGCCAGCUUAACUGCAAGACAUACAAGUCAAGCAGAGACGAAAGUCGGUCUUAGUGAUCCGGUGGUUCUGUGUGGAAGGGCCAUCGCUCAAAGGAUAAAAGGUACCCCGGGGAUAACAGGCUGAUCUCCCCCAAGAGCUCACAUCGACGGGGAGGUUUGGCACCUCGAUGUCGGCUCAUCGCAUCCUGGGGCUGGAGCAGGUCCCAAGGGUAUGGCUGUUCGCCAUUUAAAGCGGUACGCGAGCUGGGUUCAGAACGUCGUGAGACAGUUCGGUCCCUAUCUGCCGUGGGCGUAAGAAGAUUGAAGAGAUUUGACCCUAGUACGAGAGGACCGGGUUGAACAAACCACUGGUGUAGCUGUUGUUCUGCCAAGAGCAUCGCAGCGUAGCUAAGUUUGGAAAGGAUAAACGCUGAAAGCAUCUAAGCGUGAAGCCA
rnacentral:rRNA from 1 species